UACGUAGGGGGCGAGCGUUGUCCGAAUUUACUGGGCGUAAAGAGCGCGUAGGCGGGUUGUUAAGUGAGAGGUGAAAGGUUCAGGGCUCAACCCGAACAGUGCCUUUCAUACUGGCGACCUUGAGUAUGGGAGAGGCGAGUGGAAUUUCUGGUGUAGCGGUGAAAUGCGUAGAUAUCAGAAGGAACACCCAUGGCGAAGGCAGCUCGCUGGCCUAUAACUGACGCUGAGGCGCGAAAGCAUGGGGAGCAAACAGG
rnacentral:rRNA from 1 species